AUCCUUCGAGUGCCACACACGCAUGCAUCUGCAUGCGUAUUCCGCUGAACCGAGACUACACAUCUCUCUCGAUCUCCCAUGAUUUUUCUGCUAUCGCGCUCAUCCGGGUGUUAGGCAUCCUCAGUCUGUCCAGAACUUUCACUGUGGAAGGAUGUGUUGGAGUGAUGUGUGAUUUCUUGUGCCCCGUACUUUGCUCGUUUACGUUUUGUGCCGUGUUCCUUCUUCUUCAAUUAUGGAAUGAUUUAUCCUUGUAUUUCUAAGUUACAGUGCACGCGCAUUUUAAUCGACGGUUGCCAACAUCCCGCAAAACGAUCGACGGAAGGAAAACGGUGUCCGGUUUUAAAAUAUAAAGAUUUCAUUACAGCUCUUUGGUAGAAGAGCGCACUUCAAGGACGCCUAGGAUACGGCUAAACAUGCGCAGCACCAGUCCGUGACGUCAUUUCCAGACAGGCGCCGGCUGAACACGCGCAGCACCAGUCGAGGAUAUCCUAGCGCAGAGGGUAGAAGGAAGAACGAGAGGAAGGGUAACAGAAAGCAACCGCAGCAUUUGGAAGGGGUGAAGCAUCCUGCCGUAUACAGAGUGUGAGUGUGCCAAAACGCAUGUGGAAAGAGUAACACCAAUAAAUAGCAUGCGAAAGUGUGCAUAAAGCAAAAAGAAAAAGCAUCACUACUACAACCAGCAAUCCGAAAAUAUAAGGGGAGGGAUAAAUACAAAUGUAUGCGUAAGCAGGACCAGCAAUCCAAGCAUUUGAAUGUGUGCGUCGGUUUGUGCCGUGCUGAAAGUUUUU